rnacentral:rRNA from 1 species
CGGCGUGCCUAAUACAUGCAAGUCGAGCGAAUGGAUUAAGAGCUUGCUCUUAUGAAGUUAGCGGCGGACGGGUGAGUAACACGUGGGUAACCUGCCCAUAAGACUGGGAUAACUCCGGGAAACCGGGGCUAAUACCGGAUAACAUUUUGAACCGCAUGGUUCGAAAUUGAAAGGCGGCUUCGGCUGUCACUUAUGGAUGGACCCGCGUCGCAUUAGCUAGUUGGUGAGGUAACGGCUCACCAAGGCAACGAUGCGUAGCCGACCUGAGAGGGUGAUCGGCCACACUGGGACUGAGACACGGCCCAGACUCCUACGGGAGGCAGCAGUAGGGAAUCUUCCGCAAUGGACGAAAGUCUGACGGAGCAACGCCGCGUGAGUGAUGAAGGCUUUCGGGUCGUAAAACUCUGUUGUUAGGGAAGAACAAGUGCUAGUUGAAUAAGCUGGCACCUUGACGGUACCUAACCAGAAAGCCACGGCUAACUACGUGCCAGCAGCCGCGGUAAUACGUAGGUGGCAAGCGUUAUCCGGAAUUAUUGGGCGUAAAGCGCGCGCAGGUGGUUUCUUAAGUCUGAUGUGAAAGCCCACGGCUCAACCGUGGAGGGUCAUUGGAAACUGGGAGACUUGAGUGCAGAAGAGGAAAGUGGAAUUCCAUGUGUAGCGGUGAAAUGCGUAGAGAUAUGGAGGAACACCAGUGGCGAAGGCGA